CUUUUUUUUUUUUUUUUUUAUUCUUGGUGUACCAUAUAUUUAACCCUAUUUGUAUACUUCAACCUUGUAGAGAUCUUUAGUCCAACUGCACUCUUAAACUAUUCUGUGGCCAUAUUGCUGGCAUUGUAUUUAAUGAUCUCAUUCUAAGGUCCAAUGACAUGUUGACAUGGUGGAUAAAUACAUUUCGCAUGGGGCUGUUUGCCCUACUUUCUGUUUAUCUGCCUGGGAGUGACAUGUGGGCUACAACAAAUGCUUUUAACUAGAUGACUUCACAGCAACUUUGAAUAUGUUUUCAACCUAAAAUGGGUUUGCUUUAUCCAAUGUGAGCUUUUUUUUUUUUCCUAGUAAAUUGAUAAAGAUUAUAAUGUAAUAAAUCUAUUAUCAUUAGUUUCGUAUAAAACAUUUAUGCAUACAAAAAUGUUAAUGUUUUUAUAUUACUUUGUUACAGAGACCAUUAAGGAACCCUGUAAAUGAGAGAUUUAUAAUGAUAGAUUAUAAAUAAUGAUAAGAUUAUAAAUAAUGAUGAUUUGAAUGAAGUCUUGUUGAAGACAUUGAACUAAGUUUCUUGCUUUGUACCUGCUAAAUGUUGUUACCUAUUGUCUGAUUGAUUUGUUGAGAUUCACAUGAUCUUACCUGACUUAACUAACAUCUUUCAUAUUUGGUUGUGUAUUAUCUCAAUACAAGUUUGUGGUUUUGUACUACUGGGCUGAUAAAAAUAUCUAGACAUUGAAAAUGUCUGAUAGAACUAAAUGUGGUUGUUAUAUAUUUAAAAAAAAAAAAAAUUAUAAAAAUCUUCAUUGGUAUUUGCUGAACCCACUUGUUAGCUCAUUUCUUUCUACUAGCAGUCUCUAAGUGAACACCAUGAAAUCUCAGGGCCUUGUGCUCCACUCGAUGAAGUCUUGAGAACCAUGUAGUUCAUUCAAUAUUUGUAUGUCAUCUAGAUUUAAUCUAUUAAUUGUAAGGCUCUUGUUAAUCUUUUAUCUAAAGACUAAAUGAUGAGCCUGCUCUGUCAACUGGCUGGUUUAGUCUUUCUCCAUACCGUGAUAUAUGUGUGUGUUUAUAUAGGCCUACAUUACAUACAGGUUCUAAGGAUCCCAUUUCAGACCUGAAGGUUUGCAAUGUGUAUGUUGUAUAAAGUCUCUGAUAAAAAUUUUUGACUGGAAAUUACAUUGUUUUUAUUAUGUUUCAUCGAAAUUUAACUACUUUUAUGAUCUGUUUAAAACUGUUUAAUUUAACCUGACGUAAUUACAUAUGAGGUCAAUUUUGUGUACAUCUUUACUUGAUUUAAUUGAUGACUACCAAAUGUAUUUCACUUUGUCUACAUUAAAAGAUAUCUGUAAACACUGAC